UACAUCAACAGUAUUUCUUCUUUCAAUUCAUUUUCUUGCCUCACAUCUUUGCCUUUAGAUCUUUAUUUCCCAAAUUUCUGUGUGUUGUAGUUCUCCCGACUGCCAGAGGGGGAAAAAAAGGUAGAGAAAAAUGAAUUUAAAGAAGAUAUUUUUUAUCUAAACCAUUGAUUUAACUCCAAUUUUUGUGAUAGAUCUUCUAGACUUUUGAUUUUUCUUCAUUGGAAAACCUUAAAAGGUGAGUUUUUUUUUUGUUAACAGAAUGGAGCAUAUAUUCUUUUGUCAUUUUUAUUGUAAAACCUGUUGUUCUAUUUUUGCAGCAUGAAGAGAGUGACAGAUGAUGUAUAUGAUAGCCCUUCAUUUAAGCUACCAUUUGGUUCUUCCCAUGGAGAAUCAUAAUUAGGUACGGUCAAUCGCAAGUUCGUGAAAGUUGUUUGGAUGGAAAAGGAGUGGCAGCCACAUAGAUGGAGCUGGUUCUAGUGCUAUUGCUUGCAAACCAAAGCUGAUAGCUAAUGAUGCAUUAUCGUAUUUGAAGGAAGUUAAGAGCAUGUUUCAGAACGAAAGGGAGAAAUAUGACAUGUUCCUUGAUGCUACGAUGGACUUUAACGGACGAAGAAUUGGUACCGUUGGUGUAAUAGAAAGAGCGAAAGAAUUGUAUCCUUUCUUGCCCAAUUGGCUAUGAAAUAAUCCGCAAUGACGAUGAUAAGGCUACUCCGAAGAAAACAGUUUACGCGGAACAAGCAAGCAGCUUAGUGAACAGAAUAAAGGAAUGUUCAAAAAAGGAACAUGAGUGCAAAUCCUUCCCAGAUAUUAAUGUUGCGAAGUCAAUUGAUACUUCUGCUAGGAUGGAUGCUAAGGAGGAGGCGAAGAACAAUUUCCACAUGGACAAGCUGAGACGAGGUACUAGAAGUGUUGUUCCACCUAGAAGGAUCGAUAAUUGGUUUUGGGAAGGAGGAAAAUCACGUGAGCAAGGCCAAAGUUAGUUAUGGAAUUUGUAUAGAAGUGUGAGAACAUCAUAGGAAGGGAUAAGGAUGUUAUUUCAUAUUGGGAAUAUUCUCAACUCUUUCUUUGUUCUUGUCAACCCCUUCCUGACUUCUAGUUUUAAAUUUCAAGUGUAUUUCUUUGUUUCGUUGUUCCCUGCAAUUUUCCCUAUUUUGUUGUAUUGUAUGUUAAUUAUAUUCAGUAAAACAUAAUAAAAUAUAUUAGUGUUUGUAUU